AAAAAGGGGAAGAAGUAGUUGGAAUGUAUAUAUAUCACACUCCAUCCGUUCCAAAAUCGAACCCCAACGGCCCCGUCGGAAACUUUACAAAGGUCAGCAGGAUGCUGCGACCGCUCUCGCUGGGCCGAUCCGCCCGACUCCUCCGCUCGUCCCUCCAUUCCGCCCGAACGCUAAACCCUAGCCCUACCUCCGACCUUCUCCGCCCCCUCUCCUUCUCCUCCUCCUCCUCCGGCGGUGCCUCCGAUGCUGAGCUCCGGAAGUACGCCGGCUACUUCGUUCUCCUCCUCGGCUGCGGCGUUGCCACCUAUUAUUCCUUCCCCCUCCCCCCCGAUGCCAAGCAUAAGAAGGCUCAGAUAUUCCGCUACGCCCCGCUCCCUGAUGAUCUCCAUACCGUCUCCAACUGGAGCGGCACCCACGAGGUCCACACUCGUGUCUUCCUCCAGCCGGAGUCCCUAUCCGAGCUCGAGGCCGCCAUCCAAGAUGCCCACAAUAAGCGCCAGCGGAUCCGCCCGGUCGGGUCCGGGCUGUCCCCCAACGGGAUUGGCCUCACGAGGACCGGGAUGGUGAAUCUUGCCCUCAUGGAUAAGGUCCUAGAGGUGGACCGGCAGGCCAAGACGGUCCGGGUGCAGGCCGGGAUCAGGGUUUCCCAGCUCGUGGACGCGCUCAAGGAGAACGGGCUCACCCUCCAGAACUUCGCGUCUAUUCGGGAGCAGCAAAUCGGAGGCAUCGUGCAGGUUGGCGCCCAUGGUACUGGUGCACGACUGCCUCCCAUUGAUGAGCAAGUCAUCAGCAUGAAACUGGUGACUCCUGCCAAAGGAACAAUUGAGGUGUCAAGAGAGAAAGAUCCUGAUCUCUUUUAUCUGGCUCGCUGUGGUCUAGGGGGCCUUGGUGUGGUUGCAGAGGUCACUCUUCAAUGUGUGGAGAGACAUGAGCUUGUGGAGCAUACAUUUGUUUCUAAUGUCAAUGAGAUCAAGAAAAAUCACAAGAAAUGGCUGGCUGAUAACAAGCAUGUGAAAUAUCUAUGGAUUCCCUAUACUGACACAGUUGUAGUUGUGCAAUGCAAUCUUCUGUCAAAAUGGAAAACUCCAAAGUUCAAAUCAAAAUAUGGGAAGGAUGAAGCAUUGCAACAUGUUCGUGAUCUUUACCGUGAUUCACUUGAGAAAUACAGGGUUGAAGUUGGUAAGGAUGAAUCAGAUAUAGAUCAACUUUCGUUCACAGAGUUGAGGGACAAACUUCUUGCCCUUGAUCCCCUCAACCAAGACCAUGUCAUAAAAAUCAACCAAGCAGAAGCUGAAUACUGGAGGAAGUCAGAGGGAUAUCGUAUAGGUUGGAGUGAUGAAAUAUUGGGUUUUGAUUGUGGUGGGCAGCAGUGGGUCAGUGAGAUAUGUUUCCCAGCAGGGACCCUCCCAAAGCCCAGCAUGAAGGACUUGGACUACAUAGAAGAGUUGAUGCAGCUCAUACAGAGCGAAAAGAUACCAGCACCAGCUCCUAUUGAGCAGCGUUGGACGGCUCGCAGCAAGAGCCUUAUGAGCCCAGCAUCAAGCUCUGGGCAGGAUGAUAUAUUUUCAUGGGUUGGUAUAAUCAUGUACCUGCCUACAAUGGAUGCUCGUCAGAGGAAGGAGAUAACAGAAGAAUUCUUCAGUUACAGACAUCUGACACAAACUAGACUGUGGGAUGAAUAUUCUGCUUAUGAACAUUGGGCUAAAAUUGAGAGAUCCAUGAUUGAUUUUCACUAGGAAGCAUUUGUGGCCAAAUACAAGUACAUUGUAGCCUACCCCCUAUCUCUCUCUCUCUCUGCGUGCGCGCGCACACACACAUGCACACACAGAGAGAGAGAGAGAGAGACCUUGCAAAGUACUUUUUUUCUUAGCCCUGGAAGAUCCAACUAUUUUCCCAUCCUGGCUGGAAUUAGAGGUUGCAUUGGACUACUCAUUUAUUUUAUAAAGAGAAGUGGAGACAUGAUUAGGUUCCAAAGGAUAAGGACGAGCUUGCUGCACUCCAAGAAAGACUGAGGAGGCGCUUUCCAGUUGAUGCCUAUAACAAAGCACGUAGAGAACUGGAUCCCAACAAGAUUCUUUCAAAUAACAUGCUAGAGAAGCUGUUCCCUUCAUCUGAUACAGUUUGAUCAUCAAGUCUGUUUUAAGUAUUUUUCUGCUUCAGGGUAAAUAAUUGGUGGUUGAAUUUCAUGAGGUAGUAUGAAAUGGUUAACUUUCUCAGAGAAUCAAUUUGCUUUUCUAAGAACUGCCCUAUCAUGGCUCAAUGAUCAGAGAAUUAAUUUGCAUCCCCAGACUUUGCCUGUGCCUGGGGUUUUUUAAUCCCAUCGAUGGGGAUUGGGGAAUUCUCUGCUUGCUAUGCAAUGUAAUUGAUUCAGUGAUGGAUUUUUACUGUCAUCUAACAAUCCCUGACAGGGCUCUUUUUUAAAAAAAAUAAGUUAUCACAGGAUA